rnacentral:tRNA from 1 species
GGGUCGUUAGCUCAGUCGGUAGANNUAGAGCAUCGGACUUUUAAUCCGCUGGUCGUGGGUUCGAUUCCCACACGACCCACCA